AAGUUUGCCUUCACGGCUUUCUGCCAGAAAGCCUUUAGAAGCAGCCAAUAGAAUCAAACAAGGCUUCUGCCAAUGAUGUGCCGUUUUCAUUUUCACCACAAAUCCAGCUCCCAACCAACCUUCCAGAGCUUGCUUCAUUGUUAAGUAUUAAAGUUAUUGACGUUAUACACUUUCAUUAAAUAAAGAAAACCUUUUUGGUUACUGUGUAGCUAAACUACUAUAUCUGGUAUCACUUAAGAAAAACAAAAUCUGACGUUAAGUACGAAAGUUAACAAGCUAACUAGCUAAUGUUAGCUUGCUAGCUACAUUUUUGCAGAAAAUGCUAAGUUAACAUUAACGUUAGUCCCUUAGCAGUUGAAGGCAAAUUUUCGACUAGUCUGCUAAAUUAAAAGCAUUUUAUCACUGGCAGCUAGUGAGAUAAACCAUCUUUUUGUGAGAAACGUUAGUGAUGUUAGGUAAUAAUAAUAUCAAUUGUCUUUCUGUCAGAAAGGUUAGUGCAUUUAUCACUGGUAGCUAAUAAUAUCUAGAGAUGUCACUCAUUUCAAUUGAUGUGAUUACCGCGGUAAUGCCACAGCGACAGAGAAGGGGGGUGAAAUAAUUUAUCCAGGAGUAGCUGCAGUGUGCAUCAAUAACCACCAGGUGGCACAUGUAAUCCAGAUGCAGUGUCUGUUUGUCUCUCUGUAGGGUAGUCAUUGCAAAAUGAUGAGCAUGCUCGGGAAGCAGAUGUGACGAGGGAACAGGGAAACACCGUGAAGCUGUUUGGGAAUGAGUCACAGCACUCUGUUAUAUUUUCUGCCGGAUGUGGGUCCACUAUGGGAAGGCUGAUACAUAAAGUCAUCCUAUGACUGCACCGGGAUAACAGCCAUAGAAACGGCCAGGGGGAACCUAGCAGCUGGUAGUCUGCCGAUUUUAGGACAACGCAGGAGGAGGAAGAUCCUAAAUAUUGAAUGUUCCUGUAUGGCAUUGUCAUUCACGUGACCUCAGUCCAGCUGAGCAGAGUUUCCAGAGGACCAGAGUGGAGAGUUAGUGAGACACCAGGGAAGACAGCUGUGGAUGGCUGGAGUCCCUAACUGUACCUACCAAGACUGGCUUUCACACCGAAACCGCUUUCAGUUUUCAUACACAGCCUGGUCUAAUUCUUCUGUAAGAAAGAAUGCAGCGAUUCAGAGAGGCACCACACAAUACAAUGCCAGACGUCUUAUCAAAGUAUGACAAGAUAUGUGAUAUCAAUACAGCUUUAAACAAGAAGUAAGAAAUCCAAAGCACUUUGAGUCCUGAAUGUAUUAAAUACAUUUUUGUUCAUGCACAGAUGCUGUAAUGUGUAAGAGUACAUUGAUUUAGUUUUGGAUUUAAGCACUGUCUUUUAAUUUAUUAGAUGAUUAGAAGGGAUGGUUAAUCUUUUUACAGUGCACAUAUAAAACAUGUGCAGUAGCUCAUACUGGUCCCAUGAAAUGAAUACUUUAUCAUAAAUCAAUCUGGUAUUGUUUUUGUUUUGGUCUAAGCAGCAGAGGGAGGAGGACAGAGGACAGGAGGACAGACUGCCUGUGCAGACAGCAGCUGUGCACUCGCCCCUUGAAUCAGGUUGUGGUGAAAGAUGGGUUUGAAAUUGUAUGUCGUGUGUGGAUUGUGUGUGUAGAUUGUGUUUCAUAGACAAUCUGGCAACUUGGGUAAUGUGAGACAAAAACUUAUGGAUCAUUCUUAAUAAAGUUUGAAGGCCAUGCAAAUUAUGGGAGUUUCCCGGGAAAAACAACAAACAGUGAGCACAGCAGGAGAUGAGGUGAAAAUACAAGAGAAACCUGGGAAAAAGUGUGGAGGAGUGUUGGAAGGUCUGAUAAGCAUGAAGUGAAAUUUUGAUAU